rfam:Ictidomys tridecemlineatus contig030753, whole genome shotgun sequence.
UAGCUCAGUUGGUAGAGUGCUUGCCUUCCAUGCACAAGACCCUGGGUUCAAUCCCCAG